rnacentral:rRNA from 1 species
GACGAACGCUGGCGGCGUGCUUAACACAUGCAAGUCGAACGGAAAGGCCCUGCUUGCAGGGUACUCGAGUGGCGAACGGGUGAGUAACACGUGGGUGAUCUGCCCUGCACUUCGGGAUAAGCUUGGGAAACUGGGUCUAAUACCGGAUAGGAACCAUCUUUAGUGUGGUGGUUGGAAAGUUUUUUCGGUGUAGGAUGAGCUCGCGGCCUAUCAGCUUGUUGGUGGGGUAAUGGCCUACCAAGGCGGCGACGGGUAGCCGGCCUGAGAGGGUGUACGGCCACAUUGGGACUGGGAUACGGCCCAGACUCCUACGGGAUGCAGCAGUGGGGAAUAUUGCACAAUGGGCGCAAGCCUGAUGCAGCGACGCCGCGUGGGGGAUGAAGGCCUUCGGGUUGUUAACUCCUUUCGCUAGGGACGAAGCUUUGUUGUGACGGUACCUAGAGAAGAAGCACCGGCUAACUACGUG